UACGUAGGUCCCGAGCGUUGUCCGGAUUUAUUGGGCGUAAAGCGAGCGCAGGUGGUUUAUUAAGUCUGGUGUAAAAGGCAGUGGCUCAACCAUUGUAUGCAUUGGAAACUGGUAGACUUGAGUGCAGGAGAGGAGAGUGGAAUUCCAUGUAUAGCGGUGAAAUGCGUAGAUAUAUGGAGGAACACCGGUGGCGAAAGCGGCUCUCUGGACUGUAACUGACGCUGAGGCUCGAAAGCGUGGGGAGCAAACAGG
rnacentral:rRNA from 1 species